AACGAACGCUGGCGGCAUGCCUAACACAUGCAAGUCGAACGAGACCUUCGGGUCUAGUGGCGCACGGGUGCGUAACGCGUGGGAACCUGCCUUUAGGUUCGGAAUAACUCAGAGAAAUUUGAGCUAAUACCGGAUAAUGUCUUCGGACCAAAGAUUUAUCGCCUUUAGAUGGGCCCGCGUUGGAUUAGCUAGUUGGUGGGGUAAAGGCCUACCAAGGCGACGAUCCAUAGCUGGUCUGAGAGGAUGAUCAGCCACACUGGGACUGAGACACGGCCCAGACUCCUACGGGAGGCAGCAGUGGGGAAUAUUGGACAAUCGGCGAAAGCCUGAUCCAGCAAUGCCGCGUGAGUGAUGAAGGCCCUAGGGUUGUAAAGCUCUUUUACCAGGGAUGAUAAUGACAGUACCUGGAGAAUAAGCUCCGGCUAACUCCGUGCCAGCAGCCGCGGUAAU
rnacentral:rRNA from 1 species